rnacentral:rRNA from 1 species
AUUGAACGCUGGCGGCAGGCCUAACACAUGCAAGUCGAACGAGUGGCGGACGGGUGAGUAAUGUCUGGGCAACUGCCCGAUGGAGGGGGAUAACUACUGGAAACGGUAGCUAAUACCGCAUACCAUCGGAUGUGCCCAGAUGGGAUUAGCUAGUAGGUGGGGGAAAGGCUCACCUAGGCGACGUACCCUAGCUGGUCUGAGAGGAUGAGCGGCCACACUGGCACUGAGACUCUGUCCAGACUCCUACGGGAGGCAGCAGUGGGGAAUAUUGCACAAUUGGCGCAAGCCUGAUGCAGCAAUGCCGCGUGUAUGAAGAAGGCCGUCGGGUUGUAAAGUACUUUCAGCGGGGAGGCGUUACCCGCAGAAGAAGCACCGGCUAACUCCGUGCCAGCCGCCGCGGUAAUUC